AGUACGACCGCAAGGUUAAAACUCAAAUGAAUUGACGGGGACCCGCACAAGUAGUGGAGCAUGUGGUUUAAUUCGAAGAUACGCGCAGAACCUUACCAACACUUGACAUGUUCGUCGCGACUCUAAGAGAUUAGAGUUUUCGGUUCGGCCGGACGAAACACAGGUGCUGCAUGGCUGUCGUCAGCUCGUGUCGUGAGAUGUUGGGUUAAGUCCCGCAACGAGCGCAACCCUCACUUUUAGUUGCCAUCAUUAAGUUGGGCACUCUGAAAGAACUGCCAGUGAUAAGCUGGAGGAAGGUGGGGAUGACGUCAAGUCCUCAUGGCCCUUACGUGUUGGGCUACACACGUGCUACAAUGGCAUCUACAACAGGAAGCAAAACGGCAACGUUAAGCAAAUCCCGAAAAGAUGCCUCAGUUCGGAUUGCACUCUGCAACUCGAGUGCAUGAAGCUGGAAUUACUAGUAAUCGUGGAUCAGCGUGCCACGGUGAAUGCGUUCCCGGGUCUUGUACACACCGCCCGUCACACCAUGGGAGUUGGUUCUACCUUAAGGCAAGGUUUCAAACCCUUGACCACGGUAUAGUCAGCGACUGGGGUGAAGUCGUAACAAGGUAACC
rnacentral:rRNA from 1 species